rnacentral:lncRNA from 1 species
UUGAGGGUGACUCGGACCUGGUCUUGCCUUGGGUUGGCAGGGGUCAGGUGCUCUCCUCCUGUCCCUUCUAGCCCAGGGAGAAGCAGAGCUGGGGCCCCUGGGGAAGCAGACUUUCCCCAGGCUGCAUAGCUUUGGAUGAAAACUUGAAAUUUGAGUAAAGUCCCCUGACCUGGGGGAAACUGUCACCAUCUCUGAGCAUGAAGGAGUAUAAAUGAAGACUGGUGCCGGCUGAGGCUUCGAAGCUAUGGCGGAGGGAGCUUGCCAAUGAAGACGUCUCACAGGAGAAGAAAUAGAAGCCCUUUCAAUUAAGCGCUUCAACGUCAGCUAAGCAGGAAGCCCAGACAGCACUUUGGUUGCUCAGUGGAGUGGCGUUUGCCUGACCCACAGGAGACCGAGAGGUUAAGGGGCUUGUCUGAGGUCAGUGACUAAUGAGACGCAGAUCUGGGGCCAGGCUGGGCUCUGGCCUCUGGGUCCAGGUUCAAUCUUUUCCAGGAGCUACAAAGAAAAUUACUCUCCAUCUUCUUCGGUGAAAGAGCCGUUACCCUAAAGUACAAACUUAAACUCCAAAUUCUAUGUUAUCAGGACCAAAAUGAGGUAGGAAGCUGAGCAUUGAGACAAAUCUUGGCCCUUGUUUUGGAAGAACGAUUGUUCUAAACUGGUAGAGCUCACGUUAGUGUGCUUCAGAGUAUCCCUAAGGUGCAGGCCACUGAGUUCCUCCACCAGUUUCUCACUCUGCACUUCUAAUGCACUUGUAGGUAAUGCUGAUAUCACUCUGUAGGGACCAUAAUUUGGGGAUCUUAAAGCCUCAUGUUGCCUCUGGUCAGUGCAAAAAGGGAUCGCUGGCCCUUGAAAAAAUCAGUGAUUGUCAUUUUAGAUGCCAAAAUAACUAAAGGGAAGUAGCUGCUCUCUGUAAUCUGGUCCCUGGCUGAGAGAGGCUGACAGAGGUUUAAAAAAAUUGUUUUUAAAGGUGAAAAGUGGGAGGGAAAACAGAGCCACAAUGUGACACACAGGCCAUGAUCAAGAGCCUCACUGUGAGCUCCCUGGCCCCUCUGAACGCUGCCAUCCAGGGGAAACGGCCCCAAGGAAAGGGAAGCCCGUGGAUCCCGAAGCACAGACUGCGCCCUGUUUUUCUGCGCACACCUCCCUCCCCACUCUUCUCCAGGAGGUUGCUGACUGGUUAGAACUGGCAGGUACGCAGAAGCAAGCUCACAGGGCGACACGGGUGAAGCAGUGGUUAGCAAGGAGGAAGAAACGGUCAGGAACAAAAUUUUGGCAGGUGGGGAGCGUGCAUCAUGAAAUGAACCACCCUCAACCCACUGGGACCUCUGGGGAGCCUAACAGAGACACCAGGAAUCCAAGGGAACACGGCCCAUGGAAAGGUGGCUGGUGAGCUUGGGGAAACGAAACCUUCGCAGACACUGAAAUCACGCUGGACCGAGCACACCUGUUCAGAAACCCAGAGCAGGGCUUGAGGGGAGCUCAGUAAAUAAAAUGGGGGGGGGGAGAGCAGACAGAAAAACAUUCACAGAGGAGACAAAUGGUGGGCAGGAAGAACAGACCCAGAGCUGCAGACCUAUAAGGAAAAGGCUGCAAUCCAGGAAUAUUCAGGAAUAAAUUCCCCCCCAGAAAGUAGAACCAGGACAAGGCGUCAUGUUCAGGAGGUGGUCUGGGGAGGUGAGGCCACAAAGGUGUCUGAUCUUCCAGGAGGGCUGGGAGGAGUUGAGGAGGGAAGGACUGGCCAACAUGGGACUGCUGCUGUGGGACCCCCAGGUCUCUGUGUGCUGAAGGGGGCAGUGAGAAGCAAUUACACACGGCCCCUCCCAGUGCCCCUGAUCCAGAUGCACCCCCAUGUAUUUCCCAAGUAGCACAUGUACCAUGAGACUGUCAGGCCUCACCUGACCGAGCUGGCGUAAAAGGUGGCCUGAGAGGAUAAAAGAUGGGGACAAGAUGUGUUAGACCUAAGGACACACUGUGUCCCAGGAGAAGCUGACAUGGGACGGAACUUGGAUAAACAAUUUAGUGAAACUACUGAGCCCAGAGGGGAAGGAAAGUGUGUUGACCUUCCAGGCCAUAAGCAAGACAGACACACAGGUCCCUAACCCAAGGGAAAGCCCAAGCUGGCAUCAGACCUGACUACUGCAGAGGUCAAUUCUAGGAGACCGUGGAGUGAUAUCCACAGACCCCUUGGGGAUGGAAAGGAAGCCAGAACAUUUCAAUGCUGGCCAAAGCCUUGUCCAGUCAGGAGACACUUGCUUCUGAGUUUAUAAGAACUCAAAGACAGCCUGCGAGGCACAGCUUAAAACACAUUCCCCAACAGGACGGAUCCUUCUGAGAUGUCAAAACACAGAAACCACAACAGGGAAUGGUAGAAAUCAGUGACCCGACUUGAAGACUGAGAUAGAAUUGAAUGACCAUGAAACCAAAAGCAGAAAAUAGGGUACAAGUGACUUACAUUUUGACAUUGUAAAAAUAACAUAAAAAGCAAUAUGGAUGCUUUACUUUCAUUUACUUUCCUUACACCUUAUAAUAGGGAACCAUUAGAUAUUGUUGAGCAUUAAAUAAUACAGUUUUCCAGUGAUCAAACUUAACAAUUUUUUUCAAAAUUGUCCCUCAGUUUUAGAGAUUUGUGGCUGCAUUAAUAACUCUUGCUGCAAAAAAGAAAUAUCUGAAGUUCAUGAUUCUUUCCAUUUUAAUUUGGUUGCUUUAUUUUCUGUUGUAUACACAUGAAAAUCAUCAAAGACCAAUCACAAGCGUUGGUGAGAUUCUGCACAACAGGUCGCGGCUUCACUCUGUGGGCAGGGUACUGCUGCCCCACCCUCCUGGUCUCAUUCUAUGUCCUUGCUGUCUUUACUGGAAGCUCUGUCUGUGGUCAAGAGGGCUUUGGGGAGGAUUUGAUGCUCACCAGACAUUUUAUGACUUGCUUUGAACCACUUGUUCUGGUUGUUUUUGGAAGAUCUUCAGCAGUAGUUGGAGGGAAGGAAAGAACUGGGAGAGCCAUCUAUAAAGAAGGCAGCCCAUGCUGGGAUUUUUGAUCUUGUGCUUGUUUUACAUUUUUCUCAGAAUUCAUGGCAGCAAAUGUGCAUAAGAUCUGCUGAUGGAGAACAAGAAUUUGAAAUAUUAGUGAAAGAAGACGGGAAAAGCUGCCAUGUGAAUAGGUGUUGCAAAGGCUAAGGGGAAGGAGGGUGCUCAACGUGGCCAAAAGCUUCAAACAGAACAGAAAAUCAGCCAGGAGAAGAGCGGCCCAGCUCGACCUGCUGCCCACCCGGCAGCCUCAUUCCAAAGCCUGAGCUCUGUGCCUGGGGGGACAUGUGAGCAUCUCCACGCUCUCAGGGGCUCAGCAAGACUUCCUAAUGACCCGCUCAGUCCAGAGCGCUGAGGAAGUGUUGUCCAGGAGUAGAGAUCGCUGAGCAAAAACAUUUUGAAGCAGAAAAUUAUUUUGGUUAAUGAGUAAGUAUGUCUGUGCAUGAAUCCUACGUCUUUAUACACCUCCACUGAACUCCAACUCCAUUUAGAGUUCCUUCUAUAAAUACCUGAGGUGAUGACAGAGAAGGGUAAACGUUAAGCAUUAAUUCUGAACUAAUAUCUGGAGAGGAAGACCACAAAAUAAACAAGUGAGCUACUUAAUCAUCAAGUAUAAACCAUCAGCCAAACUUCUCUGGGCAUAUCCCUUAGCUUCCUUCUGACUUUUGGGACCGUGGUGAUGUGCCACGUCCUUUUGGCUACAGUGGGGAUUUUGAAUGGCCCCAAAGGCCUCUGUGUCAAAGGCUUGGUCCCCAGCUGAUGGCAUCCAUGGGAAGUGGUGGAAUGUUUAGGAGGUGGGGCAUCAUGGAGGAAGUAGAGUCACUGGAGGCAGGUUCUUGAAGCACAUAGGGCGACUCUGGAUCCUCCUUUCUUCCUCUCUCUCUCUGUCUCUGCUUCUAGGUCACCAGGAUGUAAAAAGGCCUCCUCUGCAUGUACUCCCACCAUGACUCACUGUCACAGACCCCAAGUGUUGGGGUCUCUAAAGCCAUGAGCCAACGUAAAUCUCCCUUCAAAGUUGAUUUCUGUGAGGUGUUUCGUCACAGCAAUGGAAAGUGACUGAAGCACCCAAAGGAAAGCCAUAAAUGAAGCAAAUGAAGGCUGGGGGAAGCCCCCAGUGCAACACCAAUAGGAACACACGGGCCUAACCAUAAAGCAGGUCAUGCAGAGGGAGUGACCAGGUCAUGCUGAGGGAGAUGGGAAGAAGACCGCCAACUAAGGAACUUUGGAAAACAGGACGUGCCUAUGUAGACACCUACAACUUAGGAUGGUUCAACUUAGGAUUUUUUUUGACAUUAUGAUGGAAAUCCCAUACACACUCAGUAGAAACCAGUCUUUGAAUUUUGAUCUUUGCCCAGACUCACGAUACGUGGUGCAGUCCUCUCUGGAGAUGCUGGGUGGCAGCAGCAAGCCCCAGCUCCCAGCCGUACGAUCCUGAGGGUGAACCAGCGCUUCUCCAGUGUACUGUGCUGCGGAGGUCUGAGGUCAGUGAGGUAAGUAUGUUAAAUGCUUUUUUGGCUAAAUGAGACUUUCAACUUACAGUGGGUUUAUCAGAUGUAACUCCAUUGUAAGUCAAGGAACACAUGUAUACUGAAAGAACAAAUAUGAAAAGUUAAUAAUGUGGUUUUGUACAGUGGUUUGUAUUGAGAGUUCUGAAAAUACUUUAUGUGUUUUGGAAGAUUAAUCCAAUAGGAAGAUACAUUAUUUUGUUUCUCCCUGUCAGAGAAAGGAGUUACAGAAAGGAAAGUAAGAAAUCGAGAGAAAGAACACGUUGGUGCGGGUUGGAAGUGCAGGUGCAGUACAAACUCGUGGUCUGUAACAGGUGACGGAUGAUUGACAGAUUAUACCACACUGUCUUUAACUGCACAAUAAGGAAUUUGAGAUAGAUGACCUCAAGCAUCACUUCACCUCUAAAAUUCUAAGAUACCCUUUUGGGAUUUUGACAGAUAGAUAGAAAGCUGUGUGCACUAGUUCUCCCUGAUGGGAGGGCUUAGACACUUAGUAAAAUGAAUACUUAGCAUCAAGUUUUGGAUUUCAAAAUAAUAUCCAAUAAGAGGCACCAGGCUCCUUAGAGAAAUGGAUAUACUAUGGCUGAGGCAGACAGAGUACAGAAAGAGCCUGAAGUACCCCGUGGUGCCAGGGAUGGAGGGAAUGCUCCAAAACAGUGGGGCGUGUUGAAAAGGAGCCAACCCAGAGGAGCUCACAGUGGCUAAUGUGGGAUAAUUUGAACAGAAAAGAAGAAAGAAGAGAUGGAGGAGAGAGGAGGGAGGGAAGACGACUGGGGAUGGGAAGAGAGGAAGAUAGAGGAGAGGAGGGGAGAGAGUGCACGGAGGGAAGAACUGGAGGAGGAAUCUGGGCUGUAGGAAGUCACUGUCAGACACCCUGGUUGCAUGGAUAUUAAAAUUUGUGGGCAAAAUGUAACAAGAAACGGGACAUUUCCCCAAACUCUCUCCCUCAGAAUUGGAAGUCAGCACCUUCACCGCGAUGUCCAAGUGAACCUCACCGGGAAGCAGACGUAACAAUCUGAUGCCUCUCCUCUUAUUUUUCACCAGGAAGGCAGCAAAAUCCCUCUUGGGGUUUCCUUGCCAAAAAACAAGUACCCCAAAUUAAACACAGGCAAGAGCAGACACACUUAGAUGAGAGACUUGCUUAAGGUGUCAAGGUCACGAAAGACAUGGAAAGACCCAGGAACCGUCCUGGAUCGGAUGAGAUCAAGACAACUCGGUGGACCUUGGACCAGAAAAAUGAACACUAAUGAAAAAAAACUGGUGACUUUUGAACCAGGCUCAUUUGAGACUGGUUAAUAGCAUCAUAUUAUAUGCUAUUAUUACUUUUUGUUUUGAUAAUUGUCCUAUGAUUAUAUAAUGUGUAGCAUUUGGAAAAGCUGUGUAAAGUGUGGGUAGACCGAAACACUUUGUACUAUUUUGCAAGGUUUUUCAGAGGCUGUAAUCAUUUCAAAAUGAAAUGAAUAUGAAAAAAUGAAAACCUAAUACUACUUUUUAAAACUAGAUGAAUCCAAGCAGGAGCCUUAGAAGGCAGAAAAACGGGCAGUAAAAGCCCAGUUUCAGAUGGAGAAAACUGGAAUUUCACCCCGGUCUCAUCUGUAGCCAAUCCCUCAUUGGACAGUGUGACAGUCAACAAGGAAAUGACGAUUCUAAGAGAGCAUCCUGCACACAGAGCUGCCUUUUCUACCACCUUCUCUUUUUCUGGGUGUGGUUCCACAUUCUCCGGCGCUCAGCCCCUUCUUCCUGGAUGCCCAUGCUGCUUUACAUCUCUGAGCUCAGCACCUUCCCCUUGUCUGUCCUUUUUAGCCAAAGUCUGAGCUGCUUUCUUGCUUAGUGAUGCCUACAGCUACAGCUUUUUCUUAGACUCACACCUUUUAUUCCUUUAAAACAAAAAAAUAAAUCUGUGGUCAAAGUUUGUGCCUUAAUGGUAAUUGACAUCCCAUUACGAAGGAGCUUCCUCAAUAACAGCAAUGAUUUUUCACAAAAGGGAUGAAAGGAAGGUCCUUCGGGUCCUGUGCCUGAAAUAGGAUGGAAGUAAUAAAGGAGAAGGAGGAAGAAGAACCCAAGGUCCCGAGGGCAGAAGAUUUUCUUCUGAAACAGUGGCUCUCAAACCACAAUCUCAACGGGGUGUUGGGCAGAAGUGUUCAGUGACUGAAAUAGUGGCUCUGUUUUCACAGUUUAGUGGAGGGGGGAAAAAAACAGAGUGAGUUGAAGUCUUCCUCUUAAUCUGCCUGGGGCUUUUGUUCUCUUGGAAGAACAGAAAUUACUGCACACAGAAAAAGGUGCUCAGCAUGAGAGCUUGCUUUUCUGUGGACCGUGGGCUUGUGGCUCUGUCUGUGAUUGCACACAGAACAGACGCAUAUUUUCUGCUCGUCAAGAUGCUCACGUGCUUGGUGGGAUGAAACAGAUCAGAGUUCCAGGCGCUUUCUCGGCACAGAGCAUCCCAGCGUCUGGCUAUUUCCCCGAGAGUCUUUGCGGCUGGCUACCAUGCUGAAGACUCUCCCAGCUUCCUGGCUGUGAGUCUGUGCAUGCUAAAGAGGUAUGGCCAAGCUCUUAGCCAAGAACAUUGCAAAACACAAAGCCGGGGGCACCUCAGGGCCUCGUUGUACAAAUGAGGCCUUGUGCCCAGGAUGACUCCAGUUGGGGUAAGCAGGUACCAUCCAGAGAGUGAGACCAAGCCAAAGCUCUGCGGGCACCACCACGGCCUCCCUGCUCGGUGGUCAGGUGGUCAUCUGUUCCAGGGUCGGCCCCUGCCUCUUCCCAGUUCCUCUGCUCCUUUUUUCAUUUGGGAAAUUAUUUCUGAAGGUGUCCACAUUUGAAUUUAUUGCUCUGAGCGGAGUUUUGAAUAAAGCCUUCUACCAAUAAAGUUGCUACCUUUGACCGAUGAAGAGGUUUAUUGCACUGGGUGGACAUUCUGAAUUACUGAAGCUGGUAUAAAAAUAUGAAGUUUUUGAAAAUAUAAAGCAAAGUCCCUCAGCUUCCCGGGGACCGAGCUUGACACACUCUAGCUGUGUUGCCACCAUUUGAGGACAGACCUUUCGAAUGGCCCAAGUUGGAGACACACACACACACACACACACACACACACACAGCAAGGUACAGGAAGCCAUGCCUCUGUGUCUAAGGGCUGGACUGGAUGGAUGCACAGUCCCCAGGACCAGGAGGACACUCUGCUGGGCUCUGCUGAGCCCUCCUGCUGUGUGCCUAGGGACCUGCGCUGGACAAGGCCACGCCUCAGAAGGGAGAGGCACAGUGGUGGAGCACAACAGAAAAAGACUGGCCCAGCGAGGUCAGAGCUAUUAGCCGUGGGCUUCCCACAAGUCAUGCCAUCUCUCUGGCCACACUCCCUUUAAUCGCACAAUCAGGAAUUUGAGCUAGAUGACUUCAAGCAUCACUUCACCUCUAAAAUUCUAAGAUAUCCUUUUGGGAUUUUUGACUGGAAGCCAUUCAUUUCCUAUAUAAACCUAAUUCCAUGAGAAUUAAAAGUAGAAUGCACUGCCUAUUAAUUUUUAAUGGAAAUGUUUACAGAGAAGAUAAAAUGAAUUUUUCUCAUGGGAAGUUCUCUUACACUGUUGAAGCAUAUGCCAAAAAAGAAAGUGGAAAUUGGCCAUAAAACAGUGAAUCUUUUCCUCUUUAUACGUUGUGCAGAAAGAUGAUUUUGGAAUGCUGUUUCUUUGGAUAAAUGGCUCCAACCUCCAGAUAACCCUAGGUGGCCUGAAAUUUCACCCUUCUGUGGGUAACUUUCCUAUGACCAGAAACAGAUGCCUGAAAUCCUUGUUUCUUAUUGUCUAUUUAUUCAUGUAUAGACAUCAACUUCAAAGACCCUGCUCAGAGGCUCGCAGCUUACUUUAAGUUGAACUAUUAGUUCAUUGUCUAUUACCAUAACGAAAUACCCGGGUCUAUUACUUUAUUUAAGCUCACAACUUUGAAGAAGUUGUGAAAAAAAAGUCUGACCACCAUGGUACUGGCUCUGUUGAGGACAACCAUGGUUGCAUCACAUCAUGGCAGAUGGCAUCAUGGCAGGAUGACCUGCAAGGAUCAUGUGGUGAGACAGGAAGCCAGAGCUACCAGGGAGAGAUCAGUAACAACCUCUCUCUAGGUCCCACCAUUUAAAGUUUUCACCACCCCUUAAGAUCAGUACAUUGGGACCAAUCUUCCAACACUAGAACCUUUGGUAACACACUCAAGCCAUACACAAACACUAGCAAACAGUCUGAGGACACUUUGAACCAUAAUCGUUUAAACUGUAAAACACUACUCACUCGUGUCCGUCAACAAGAGAACUAGUAAAGCUGCAGAAGCUAUUUAGUGGAGGGCUGAGCUUUGAAACAACCCAGGAGCGUCUGAAGAGUGACAGGGAACACUCAUGGGCUGUGUGGUAAUGAGAGACCCAAACACCAAGCACUCCACGGGUGCUGGGCUUGUCACUGAGGCCACUGUGGAGAAGUGGAUGUAGCCACGGAUGCGAGACUACACAAGGUGCAUGGAAGAGUGGGGGAACCAAAGAGCUGUCUCAAGACAACCACCUACAAGUCUUUGUUGGUGACAUUAGAGAAGACACAGAAGAACAUCACCUAUCAGGUCAUUUUGAACACUGUGGAAAAAUCAAAGUUACUGCAAUCAUAACUGAAUGAGGCAAUGGAAAGAAGAGGGGCUUUGCUUUUGUAAUUUUUGACGACCAUGCCUCCUUGGAUAGGAUUGUCAUUCAGAAACACCAUGCUAUGCAUGGCCACAACUGUGACAGGAGGCAAGCAAGAGAAAGCAGUGCUUCAUCUAGCCAAAGAGGUUAAGGUGGUUCUGGAAACUUUAGUGGGCAUGGAGGUUGUUUGGUGGCAAUCUGAGGAAUCCUCAGUGGCUGUGGUAGUGGAUAUGGUGGCCGCAGGGAUGGCUACCAUGGAUUUGGUAAUGAUGGAAGCAAGUUCAGAGGUAGUGAGAGCUACAGUGAUUUGGGCAAUUACAACAAAAGAGGAAACUUAGGAGGCAGAAGCUCUGGACCUUUUGGUGGUGAAGACCAAUACUUGGCCAUUCCAUGAAACCAAGUGGCUAUGGUGGUUCCAGCAGCAGCAGUAGCUGUGGUGGUGGCAGAAGGUUGUAAUGCUGCUAGGAAACAAAGCUUAGCAGGAAAGGAGAGCCAGAGAAGUGACCGGGAGGCUACAGGUUCCAACAGAUCUGUGAACUCAGCCAAGCACAGUGGUAGAGGGCCUCGCAGCCACCAAGAAGGGUUAGGCCACACAGGUUAUUGUCUUUUCUGUUCUUUGGAGGUGUAAAGCAUUCCAACAAAGCAUUUUAAUGUAGACUUUUUUGCACCCAUGCUGCUAAUUGCUAAAUGUGGCAGUCUGAUUAUGAUGCUGAAUAAGUGUGUCUUUUUAUACAAAUAAAAUAAAAAGGAAUGGACCUUUAAAACAUACUGAGCACCUGAAGACCACCUAAUAAGGCAAUCUACCACAUCACUUCACCAGCAAAAAACUCAAAACAAGACAGGUCUAAUCUUUGCAGAAAGAAAUCAGCAUUAGUGUUAGCUUGAAGAGGUCAGGCAGGAGAUGAGGGAAUCCCCUGAGCUGACGAAGGUGCUCUGCCUCUUGCUAGUGGGGGUGUUACAGAGGUGCAGAUGUUGCACCCCCAGAUGAGCUGUACAUUUAAGGUCUGUGAAGUUCACUGCAUGUAAAUCGUAUAUCAAUAAAGUUGUUCAUAGUUUUAAAAAUACUAUCUCCA